GCUUCAAUCCAUCGAGAUCUUGAUGGAGCUGGAACAUUGAUAUUGCCAGCCACGAACGCGAAGAAGGCGGUACAGAGCGGCAAUGCGUCGAUCAAGGGCUGGUGCCAGAAGCGGGGCACCAAGGGGGGGCAUGUGGUGUACACUGCCGAGUUCAUGGUGGAUGCCGGCUUCGGCGAGCCGGGCGCUGUCGUGGUGGCCAUCCAGAACCACCGUGAGUUCUUCCUCGUCGAUGGCAGUGGGCUGCCUUGCGGCAUCGUGCACUUCGCCUGCAAAUCCUGGGUCCUCUUAAGCAACAAGUCUUGA
rnacentral:rRNA from 1 species